rnacentral:lncRNA from 1 species
GUUAAUUCCUCAGUAUUACUGAUUACAUUCUUUCUGAUGCUUCUUAAUUUAUUUUUGGGUUGUUCAUUGCCAGUGUAUAGAAAUAAAAAUGAUUUUUGUACUUUGAUUUUGUACCAUUCAACCUUGCUGAACUCAUGAUUUUCUAUAUACUGGAACAUUUCUUCAAAUAGAGUUUUAUGUCAACCAGAAUGUACAGUACAAUGUUAAACAGAAGUAGCAAGAGUGAAUAUCCUUGGUCAAUUCCUCAUCUUAAGGGGUAGCAUUUAGUCUUUCAUCAGUGUAAUGUUAAAUGUGGAAUUUUUUAAAGAGAGUCCUUAUUAGCUUGAGGAAGUUCUGUCUGUAUUAGUCUUCUCAAGCCACCAUAAAAAAUAUAGACUGGAUGGCCUAAACCACAUAACAUUUAUUUCUCACAGUUCUGAAGAAAAGUCCAACAUCAAGGUGUUCACAGGAUUGAGUUCUUAUGAGACCUCUUUUUCUGGCUUUUGUACAACUGCAUCUCUGUGUUUUCAAGAGCUAUUUCCUCCCUUCCCCUCCCCUCCAUCGUGUGUGUGUGUGGGGGGGGGGGUGUGUGGGUAUGUGCGCGCGUGCACACUCGGAAAGGGAGAGAAAGAUCAAUCUGGUGUCUCUUUCUCCUGUUUUUCAGUACUGGGCAUUUAACCCAGGCGUCCUCUACCACUGAGUUAUAUUCCCAGCCCUUUUUAUUUUUUAUUUUGAAACAGGGUCUUGCUAAAUUGCCCAGGCUUGCUUUGAAAUUUGUGAUCCUCCCGUCUUAGCCUCUCAAGUAGCUGGGAUUACAGGCAAGGGUCACUGCACUGGGUACUUCUUUUUAUAGUAUAAGCAUUUACAGCUAUAAAUUUUCCUCUCUGAAAUGAUUGAGCCACCUCUUGUUAUUUUCACAAGCUAUAUUAUUUUUUAUUCAUCUCAUAUAUUACUUUCUAAUGUUCUAUAUUUUUUUUACUUUUUGCCAU